GACGAACGCUGGCGGCGUGCCUAAUACAUGCAAGUCGAACGCAGUGGGGACGGGUGAGUAACACGUUGGUAACCUCCCAUCAGAGGGGAUAACACUUGGAAACAGGUGCUAAGCCGAUACUGAUGGAUGAACCCGCUGUGCAUUAGCUAGUGGGUGAGGUAACGGCUCACCAAGGCCACGAUGCAUAGCCGAGCUGGGAGGGUGAUCGGCCACACGGGGACUGAGAGACGGCGCAGACGCCUACGGGAGGCAGCAGUAGGGAAUAUUCGGCAAGUGACGAAAGUCUGACAGAGAAACGCCGCGUGAGUGAGGAAGGUUUUCGGGUCGUAAAUCUCUGUUGUUAGAGAAGCGGUAUCUAACCAGAAAGCCACGGCUAACUACGUGCCAGCAGCCGCGGUAAUAC
rnacentral:rRNA from 1 species